rnacentral:rRNA from 1 species
CGCACGGGUGAGUAACACGUAUCCAACCUGCCGUCUACUCUUGGACAGCCUUCUGAAAGGAAGAUUAAUACAAGAUGGCAUCAUGAGUCCGCAUGUUCACAUGAUUAAAGGUAUUCCGGUAGACGAUGGGGAUGCGUUCCAUUAGAUAGUAGGCGGGGUAACGGCCCACCUAGUCUUCGAUGGGUAGGGGUUCUGAGAGGAAGGUCCCCCACAUUGGAACUGAGACACGGUCCAAACUCCUACGGGAGGCAGCAUG